rnacentral:rRNA from 1 species
UACGUAGGGUGCGAGCGUUGUCCGGAUUUAUUGGGCGUAAAGAGCUCGUAGGUGGUUUGGUAAGUCGGAUGUGAAAUCUCCAGGCUCAACCUGGAGGGGUCAUUCGAUACUGCCAUGACUUGAGGACUGGAGAGGAGACUGGAAUUUACGGUGUAGCGGUGAAAUGCGUAGAUAUCGUAAGGAAGACCAGUGGCGAAGGCGGGUCUCUGGACAGUUCCUGACGCUGAGGCACGAAGGCCAGGGGAGCAAACGGG